rnacentral:tRNA from 1 species
GGGACUAUAGUUAAUAAUAACAUUUGAGUUGCAUUCAAAAAGUACUACAAACAGUAGUUAGCCUCA